UUGGUCUGCCUGCCUACUAGGUAGGAUUAGGAUCAGGGGCCCAGCUAACGCGUGAAACACUCCGCCUGGGGAGUACGGUCGCAAGACUGAAACUCAAAGGAAUUGACGGGGGCCUGCACAAGCGGUGGAGCAUGUGGUUUAAUUCGAUACAACGCGCAGAACCUUACCAGCCCUUGACAUAUGAACAAGUGUGCCUGUCCUUAACGGGAUGGUGCGAAAAUUCAUACAGGUGCUGCAUGGCUGUCGUCAG
rnacentral:rRNA from 1 species